rnacentral:tRNA from 1 species
UAAAUGUUUUACCCUUUGUGACCUGCCGAUUUGCCUAUCUAUUGAGUCGCUCAUAUAGUUAAGCGAGUCAACAGCCAAGCGGCUGGAAA